rnacentral:rRNA from 1 species
GAUGAACGCUGGCGGCGUGCCUAAUACAUGCAAGUCGAGCGAACAGACGAGGAGCUUACUCCUCUGACGUUAGCGGCGGACGGGUGAGUAACACGUGGAUAACCUACCUAUAAGACUGGGAUAACUUCGGGAAACCGGAGCUAAUACCGGAUAACAUGUUGAACCGCAUGGUUCAACAGUGAAAGACGGUCUUGCUGUCACUUAUAGAUGGAUCCGCGUCGCAUUAGCUAGUUGGUAAGGUAACGGCUUACCAAGGCAACGAUGCGUAGCCGACCUGAGAGGGUGAUCGGCCACACUGGAACUGAGACACGGUCCAGACUCCUACGGGAGGCAGCAGUAGGGAAUCUUCCGCAAUGGGCGGAAGCCUGACGGAGCAACGCCGCGUGAGUGAAGAAGGUCUUCGGAUCGUAAAACUCUGUUAUUAGGGAAGAACAAAUGUGUAAGUAACUAUGCACGUCUUGACGGUACCUAAUCAGAAAGCCACGGCUAACUACGUG